rnacentral:rRNA from 1 species
CGCUGUAGCGUGCAGCCUACACCCGGCCGUCUCGACAAUUUCUCUCGCCUCUCUUUGUGUAAGGCAGGGACCGACCGAAGUCGAGACGAGUAGGAGGGUCGCCGCGGUCAGCGCUGAAGCCUUAGACGCGAGUCUGGGUGUAGCGGCCGCGGGUGCCGAUCUUGGUGGUAGUAGCAAAUAUUCG